GUUCAGGGGGAACAGGAACACUGUGUCCGCCUUUCCCCGGGACAGGCUCCCCUGGCUUCAGAGACCAACAUUCCCACGUCUUCGAUCAGCGUUCCACGCCAUGGAUUUACACCCCCUGCCCCAGAGCCAUGGUCCUCAGCCUUGGCUGUAAGGAAAUGGACGCU